AUGAACAAGAAUCUGGGUAAGAGAACUGCUGAAGCUGGUGCAAAGGAUCCUCAGCGCAAGCGACUACAUGUCAGGAUGUUCAUACUGGUAGACGCAACGACUGUGGUUCAUCCAAGAGUGUACCCAAGCGUGCCCUUUGAUCAUGGCGAUGAAAGUGUUGGUGCUGAAUCUGGUGGGGAGGCGGAUGUUGUUCCAAAGAGGAAGAAGUCUAGUAAUAGCAAUGCAACUGAAGAUGAUGUCGAGGGAGAUGAUUCUCGAUUUAACAAGACCGUACAUUUGUCGCUUCCCACUAUUUGCAAAUUUGUUGUUUCAUUGAAAGAUGCACACUAUAAUCGUGUUCUAGAUGCUGGAUUUGGUGUUGUGUUUGAACUGACAGUAAAGAAAAAUGUGUUGUGCAUUCUUAUGUGCUAUCUGAUGGGGGUAAUUGACCCUGCCACGAUGAUAAUGGACAUUGGGAAUGGCAGGGUUCUUCAAAUCAAUCAUGAUGCAGUUCAUCACAUUUUUGAUUUACCUAUGGGACGUCACACUACACCCAUGCCUGCUGCCAGCGGACAUGAUGACUCAUUGACUGCCCUCAAGGAUGAGCUUGGCUUUGACUGUUCAAAAAGUAUAGGGGUCAAGGACUUGCUUGAGAAGCUGAAGGUGUUGGUGGAGGAAGAUGAUCAUGUGACUAUUGAUCUUCCUGUCAAGGUGUUCUUCCUGAUACUUUGUCAGAAUUUGAUGUGCUUCGGGCCUGCAGUUUGUUUGGGUAGGGUUGCUGCAAUGGCAAAGAACAUGGAUUAUGCGGCUAUGGCGAAGAUGGACUUUUGUCAGCUUGUUGUUGAUGAGUUGCAAGCAGCUGUGGUGAGGUGGCAGAAUUGUGCAGAGGGUUGUGCCAUUGUCCCCCUGAUUAUGUAUCUUCAUUGUUUGAAGCUUCGAAAUUUUUUAGUUAUGCACACGUUGACGCCACGUGCUUCAUACCCGACGACCAAGACUUGA
rnacentral:rRNA from 1 species